CGCGUAGGUGGUUGUGUAAGUCAGAUGUGAAAUCCCCCGGCUCAACCGGGGAACUGCAUUUGAUACUGCAUGACUCGAGUACAGGAGAGGGAAACGGAAUUCCCGGUGUAGAGGUGAAAUUCGUAGAUAUCGGGAGGAACACCGGUGGCGAAGGCGGUUUCCUGGCCUGAUACUGACGCUGAGGCGCGAAAGCGUGGGUAGCAAACAGGAUUAGAUACCCUGGUAGUCCACGCUGUAAACGGUGAGUACUGGGUGUGGGAGGUGUAAUGCCUUCUGUGCCGAAGCUAACGCGUUAAGUACUCCGCCUGGGGAGUACGGCCGCAAGGUUGAA
rnacentral:rRNA from 1 species